rnacentral:pre_miRNA from 1 species
GGACUAAGGACCUGAUCCGAAGCCCAAUGAAGUCAGUGGGAGUCUUUCCGUUGACUUCAGUGGGCUUUGGGUCAGAUCCUAAGGGCC